rnacentral:tRNA from 2 species
GGAAAGGUGGCAGAGCGGUUGAAUGCAUUAGUUUUGAAAACUGACGUAGCUCCAACUACCGGGGGUUCGAAUCCCCCCCUUUCCU